rnacentral:rRNA from 1 species
AAAUUGAAGAGUUUGAUCAUGGCUCAGAUUGAACGCUGGCGGCAGGCCUAACACAUGCAAGUCGAACGGUAACAGGAAGCAGCUUGCUGCUUUGCUGACAAGUGGCGGACGGGUGAGUAAUGUCUGGGAAACUGCCUGAUGGAGGGGGAUAACUACUGGAAACGGUAGCUAAUACCGCAUAACGUCGCAAGACCAAAGAGGGGGACCUUCGGGCCUCUUGCCAUUGGAUGUGCCCAGAUGGGAUUAGCUAGUAGGUGGGGUAACGGCUCACCUAGGCGACGAUCCCUAGCUGGUCUGAGAGGAUGACCAGCCACACUGGAACUGAGACACGGUCCAGACUCCUACGGGAGGCAGCAGUGGGGAAUAUUGCACAAUGGGCGCAAGCCUGAUGCAGCCAUGCCGCGUGUAUGAAGAAGGCCUUCGGGUUGUAAAGUACUUUCAGCGGGGAGGAAGGGAGUAAAGUUAAUACCUUUGCUCAUUGACGUUACCCGCAGAAGAAGCACCGGCUAACUCCGUGCCAGCAGCCGCGGUAAUACGGAGGGUGCAAGCGUUAAUCGGAAUUACUGGGCGUAAAGCGCACGCAGGCGGUU